rnacentral:rRNA from 1 species
UACGGGGGGAGCAAGCGUUGUUCGGAUUUACUGGGCGUAAAGGGCGCGUAGGCGGCCACCGCAAGUCGACUGUGAAAUCUCCAAGCUUAACUUGGAACGGUCAGCUGAUACUGAUGUGCUAGAGUGCAGAAGGGGCAACCGGAAUUCUUGGUGUAGCGGUGAAAUGCGUAGAUAUCAAGAGGAACACCUGAGGUGAAGACGGGUUGCUGGGCUGACACUGACGCUGAGGCGCGAAAGCUAGGGUAGCAAACGGG